UUAACUUAUCAAUUUUGACAAAUAUGUUUUAUGUUAUAUAAUUUAUUUAUCAGCCACGUUUCCGCGGCACCCCUGAGGGGGCCCUACGGCACCCCAGGGUGCCCCGGCACCCCUGUUGAGAAACACUGCACUAAAUUAUGAUAUUCCUAUGUGUGCGCGCGCACGCGCCAAGUUUUCAAUUCAACACACUGGGACACUUUUCAGUCUUUGAGGUUGCUGGAAUCAACACAGACUACCUCCAUGCACCUUAUCAGAACACUUUGCAUGUUUUUUGUAUACUUGUCCCCUUUGUGUAUUGCUGCUAAUCUUUCUCUUUCUAGGUUCUGUUGGUUGCAUGCAGAUUGUGCCAGAUGAUUUAUCUGUCUAUGGUCUAAGCAUGGGCUCUGUGCUAAUAUGCAAUUUGUGCUCUUUUUUCCCUCAGGUCAACAGCAGACAGGGUCCUUCCACAACCACAUACUUAUGCCAGUAAAAGCUACAGCUUUUCUCCUCCAAUCCAAGAAGCCUGGACUGCAGUCACCAUCUCAACACACCAACCAAGAGAAAGGCGGAUGGCUCAAUUCAAUAUGGAAAAUUGCACAAUAAAAGUUCCAGGACAUGAAGGCUGCAUACUGUGAACGUCAACCUUCAGGGCACCGUCCUGCGCAGAAGACUUUCUACCCUAAGAGGGAUGGCUGACCGCAGACACUCACAACCAGCACAGACGCCUCCAACCUCAGACUAGGCCCUUCACAGUUGCUGCACUUACCCACCUUCCCAGAGUUUUUGUGUGGUAAUGACAACUGUAAAUAUAGU